rnacentral:rRNA from 1 species
UACGUAGGGACCAAGCGUUGUUCGGAUUUACUGGGCGUAAAGGGCGCGUAGGCGGCAUGACAAGUCACUUGUGAAAUCUCCGGGCUUAACUCGGAACGGCCAAGUGAUACUGUCGCGCUAGAGCGCGGAAGGGGCAAUCAGAAUUCUUGGUGUAGCGGUGAAAUGCGUAGAUAUCAAAGAGGAAAUACCUGAGGUGAAGACGGGUUGCUAGGCCG